AUGACCAUGCUCGCUUCCCUCUUCUCCCCCUCCCCUCUCCUCACCACCGCCGCCUCCACCUCCUCCUCUGCCACCUCGCUGCCAGCGCCACACGCUGUGAGGCUCCCGGCUCCCAGGCCGCUCACCGCCACACUGGCCGCGGCAGCCGCGGCCGGCCUCCUCCUGCUAACCCCCGCAGCGCCGUCGCACGCGGAGGCGGAGUUCAAGGUGUACUACGGCACGGCGGCGAGCGCGGCCAACUACGGCGGGUACGGCGGCAACGCGAACAAGAGGGACGCGGCGGAGUACGUGUACGACGUGCCCGAGGGGUGGAAAGAGCGUCUGGUGUCAAAGGUGGAGAAGGGCACCAACGGCACGGACAGCGAGUUCUUCAACCCGCGCAAGCGCUCCGAGCGGGAGUACCUCACCUUCCUCUCCGGGUUCCGCAAGCUGGCCCCCGUCGGCGCCGUGCUCGACAACCUCGCCCUCUCCGACGUCGGGCUGCAGGACCAGAUCUCGUCGGCGGACGACGUGACGUCGGCGGAGCGGAAGGACGCGGACGGGCAGGUGUACUACGAGUACGAGGUGGCCGGCGCCGGCGCGCACAGCCUCAUCUCCGUGACGUGCGCCCGGAACAAGCUGUACGCGCACUUCGUCACGGCGCCCAACCCCGAGUGGGGGCGCGACGAGGCCGUCCUCCGCCGCCUGCACCAGUCCUUCAAGACCGUCGACUUCAGCGGCCAAGAUUAA
rnacentral:rRNA from 1 species